AGUCGAGGGGCAUCAGGAAGAAAGCUUGCUUUCUUUGCUGGCGACCGGCGCACGGGUGAGUAACACGUAUCCAACCUGCCCUUUACUCGGGGAUAGCCUUUCGAAAGAAAGAUUAAUACCCGAUGGCAUAAUGAUUCCGCAUGGUUUCAUUAUUAAAGGAUUCCGGUAAAGGAUGGGGAUGCGUUCCAUUAGGUUGUUGGUGAGGUAACGGCUCACCAAGCCUUCGAUGGAUAGGGGUUCUGAGAGGAAGGUCCCCCACAUUGGAACUGAGACACGGUCCAAACUCCUACGGGAGGCAGCAGUGAGGAAUAUUGGUCAAUGGGCGAGAGCCUGAACCAGCCAAGUAGCGUGAAGGAUGACCGCCCUAUGGGUUGUAAACUUCUUUUAUAUGGGAAUAAAGGGUGCCACGUGUGGCAUUUUGUAUGUACCAUAUGAAUAAGGAUCGGCUAACUCCGUGCCAGCAGCCGCAGUAAUACGGAGGAUCCGAGCGUUAUCCGGAUUUAUUGGGUUUAAAGGGAGCGUAGGUGGACAUGUAAGUCAGUUGUGAAAGUUUGCGGCUCAACCGUAAAAUUGCAGUUGAUACUGCGUGUCUUGAGUACAGUAGAGGUGGGCGGAAUUCGUGGUGUAGCGGUGAAAUGCUUAGAUAUCACGAAGAACUCCGAUUGCGAAGGCAGCUCACUGGACUGCAACUGACACUG
rnacentral:rRNA from 1 species